UCCUUGGAAUUCUGCAGAGAUGCGGAAGUGCCUUCGGGAAUCAAGUGACAGGUGCUGCAUGGCUGUCGUCAGCUCGUGUCGUGAGAUGGUUGGUUAACGUCCCGUAACGAGCGCAACCCUUGUCCUUUGUUGCCAGCACGUAAAGGUGGGAACUCAAAGGAGACUGCCGGUGACAAACCGGAGGAAGGUGGGGACGACGUCAAGUCAUCAUGGCCCUUACGGCCUGGGCUACACACGUGCUACAAUGGUCGGUACAGAGGGUUGCCAAGCCGCGAGGUGGAGCUAAUCCCAGAAAACCGGUCGUAGUCCGGAUCGCAGUCUGCAACUCGACUGCGUGAAGUCGGAAUCGCUAGUAAUCGCGAAUCAGAAUGUCGCGGUGAAUACGUUCCCGGGCCUUGUACACACCGCCCGUCACACCAUGGGAGUGGGUUGCAAAAGAAGUGGCUAGUCUAACCUUCGGGAGGGCGGUCACCACUUUGUGAUUCAUGACUGGGGUGAAGUCGUAACAAGGUAAGCGUAGUGCU
rnacentral:rRNA from 1 species